GCAUGUAACUCAGUGGUAGAGCACUUGCCUAGCAUGCUUGAAGCCCUGGGUUCCAUCCCAGCACUGGA
rnacentral:tRNA from 1 species